rnacentral:rRNA from 1 species
AGGGCAAGUCUGGUGCCAGCAGCCGCGGUAAUUCCAGCUCCAAUAGCGUAUAUUAAAGUUGUUGCAGUUAAAAAGCUCGUAGUUGAAUUUCGGGAUCAAUCUAUCGGUCGUGCAAUAGUACGUACUGAUUUUAUUGAUUCCUCCCUUCUGAUGAACUAUGAUGUCAUUAAUUUGGUGUCAUAGGGAAUCAGGACUGUUACUUUGAAAAAAUUAGAGUGUUUAAAGCAGGCUCACGCUUGAAUACAUUAGCAUGGAAUAACGAAAUAGGACGUUUGAUUCUAUUUUGUUGGUUUCUAGGAUCGACGUAAUGAUUAAUAGGGAUAGUUGGGGGCAUUAGUAUUCAAUUGUCAGAGGUGAAAUUCUUGGAUUUAUUGAAGACUAACUACUGCGAAAGCAUUUGCCAAGGAUGUUUUCAUUAAUCAAGAACGAAAGUUAGGGGAUCGAAGACGAUCAGAUACCGUCUUAGUCUUAACCAUAAACUAUGCCGACUAGGGAUCGGAUGAUGUUAAUUUUUUAAUGACUCAUUCGGCGCCUUACGGGAA